UUUCUUUUGACCCUGGCACCACGUGCCUACGUCACCUACUACCAGGCUCGGGGACUAAGUGGGCACACUUCACCUUGCGGUGAAUAUGCUUGCUAUUUUGAAGACUACAUUUUUCGCAAAAGUAAAGUGGGCACACUUCACCAAGAAAGAAAUCUUUUUUAAUUUAGAGCACCAUGCACUCUUCAAACAACCUGCUUCUUCGAUGACAAUGUUGAUCAACUGUCUUUUGAGUUGGUCAAAAUACUGUUGCAACUGUCUGGGCGACUUUCCCGCUUAUUGAAGACGUCAAGUCUCACUGAUCGAAGAAGCUCAAGGCGGCGUGUUACAUCACAAUACAUGGUGCUCGGGGACUAGCUGUGGGGGGAUAGACCCCUAUACCCUUACGGCUAGACUUGGGCCAGGAGGCUUGGCCCAUUACGAGACGAGUUUAAGGCUUGAUCCGACAGCCUGGAGUCUCGCACAAGGAAGCAAGAUGUGGAGAUCAAACAGAAUUCUAGUCGGUUAGAAUAGGAAUUGAUAUCGAACUAUCUAUGGCAAUUGUAACCGACUAGGAUUAGUUUCCAGAUCUGUAACCCUGCCCUCCGGACUAUAUAAGGAGGGGCAAGGGACCCCCCUAGGACAUCAUAUUCUCUCAGCACAAAUCAAUACAACCAGACGCAGGACGUAGGUAUUACGCCAACUCGGCGGCCGAACCUGGAUAAAAAGCUUGUCCGUGUCUUGCGUCACCAUCGAGUUCGUAGUUUGCGCACCGUCUACCGAUAAACUACUACCGUGGGUAUACCCCAAGGUAGACUGCCGACUA
rnacentral:lncRNA from 1 species